GGGCCUGUAGCUCAGUUGGUAGAGCAUCGCGUUUACACCGCGGUUGUCGUCGGUUCGAGCCCGGCCGGGCCCA
rnacentral:tRNA from 2 species